rnacentral:rRNA from 1 species
UAAGGAAUAUUGGUCAAUGGACGCAAGUCUGAACCAGCCAUGCCGCGUGAAGGAUGAAGGUCCUCUGGAUUGUAAACUUCUUUUAUCUGGGACGAAAACGGGAUUUUUAUCUCAAUUGACGGUACCAGAGGAAUAAGCACCGGCUAACUCCGUGCCAGCAGCCGCGGUAAUACGGAGGGUGCGAGCGUUAUCCGGAUUUACUGGGUUUAAAGGGUGCGUAGGUGGGCUUAUAGGUCAGUGGUGAAAUCUCCGAGCUUAACUUGGAAACUGCCGUUGAUACUAUAGGUCUUGAAUUAUCUGGAGGUAAGCGGAAUAUGUCAUGUAGCGGUGAAAUGCUUAGAUAUGACAUAGAACACCAAUUGCGAAGGCAGCUUACUACAUAUAAAUUGACGCUGAGGCACGAAAGCGUGGGGAUCAAACA